AUACUUACCUGCAGAGGCGAAAACCUUGAUCAUGAAGGGGUUCCCCCAGAGUGGGGCUUGCUUUGCCCCCCGGAUGUGCCGCCUUUGCGAAUUCCCCAUUGUGGGGAUUUCAACUGCAUAAUUUGGUGGUCUGGGGGCUGGUACGCCCUUCCCCGGG